AUUGAACGCUGGCGGAAUGCUUUACACAUGCAAGUCGAACGGCAGCACGGGGGCAACCCUGGUGGCGAGUGGCGAACGGGUGAGUAAUACAUCGGAACGUGCCCGGUCGUGGGGGAUAACUUAGCGACAGUUACGCUAAUACCGCAUACGAUCUGAGGAUGAAAGCGGGGGACCUUCGGUCCUCGCGCGUUCGGAUCGCCCGAUGUCCGAUUAGGUAGUUGGUUGGGUAAAGGCCUACCAAGCCGACGAUCUGUAGCUGGUCUGAGAGGACGACCAGCCACACUGGGACUGAGACACGGCCCAGACUCCUACGGGAGGCAGCAGUGGGGAAUUUUGGACAAUGGGCGCAAGCCUGAUCCAGCCAUUCCGCGUGCAGGACGAAGGCCUUCGGGUUGUAAACUGCUUUUGUAUGGAACGAAAAGGCUCUGGCUAAUACCUGGGGCUCAUGACGGUACCGUAAGAAUAAGCACCGGCUAACUACGUG
rnacentral:rRNA from 1 species